UAAUUAACCCCAUCAUCUCCCUAUAGGGGUCGAACAAUCCCGCACUCAGACUCAGUUUGUGCCAAUGGGAUUUAGUAGCAAAUACAGCACAAUGGGGUGGGAUAUAGGGGAUGGGGUAUAGGGUAUAGGGUAUAGGGUAUAGGAUAUGGGGUAUAGGGUAUAGGAUAUA